GAUGAACGCUGGCGGCGUGCUUAACACAUGCAAGUCGAGCGAAGCGGGGACGGGUGAGUAACACGUGGAUAACCUCCCAUAAGAUUGGGAUAACUUCGGGAAACCGGGGCUAAACCGGAUACGUUUGGAUCGCUCCGCGCUGCAUUAGCUAGUUGGUAGGGUCACGGCCUACCAAGGCAACGAUGCAUAGCCGACCUGAGAGGGUGUUCGGCCACACUGGAACGGAGACACGGUCCAGACGCCGACGGUAGGCCGCAGUAGGGAAUCUGCCGAAAUGGGCGCAAGCCUGACGGAGCGACGCCGCGUGAGUGAUGAAGGUCUGCGGAUCGUAAAACUCUGUUAUUAGGGAAGCGGUACCUGAUCAGGAAGCCACGGCUAACUACGUGCCAGCCGCCGCGGUAAUAC
rnacentral:rRNA from 1 species